rnacentral:rRNA from 1 species
CGGGGUGAGUAGUGUCUGGGAAACUGCCUGAUGGAGGGGGAUAACUACUGGAAACGGUAGCUAAUACCGCAUGACGUCGCAAGACCAAAGAGGGGGACCUUCGGGCCUCUUGCCAUCGGAUGUGCCCAGAUGGGAUUAGCUAGUAGGUGGGGUAACGGCUCACCUAGGCGACGAUCCCUAGCUGGUCUGAGAGGAUGACCAGCCACACUGGAACUGAGACACGGUCCAG